rnacentral:rRNA from 1 species
GACGAACGCUGGCGGCGUGCUUAACACAUGCAAGUCGAACGGACAGGCGCGAUGCUUGCUGGUCGGUGGUGAGGGGCGGAGGAGGGAGGAACAAGAGGAUAAUCACCUUCUCCGUCUGGCAUAAUUACGGGAAACCGGAGCUAAUACCAGGUGAUAUUCUGAACCGCAUGGUUGAUGGGUGAGAGACGGUCUUUGUGUCAGUUAUGGAUGGAUCCGCGCUGCAUUAGCUAGUUGGUGAGGUAACGGCCUACCAAGGCAGCGAUGCGUAGCCGACCUGAGAGGGGGAUCGGCCACCCUGGAGCGGAGACGCGGCCCAGACGCCUGCGAGAGGCAGCAGUAGGGAAUCUUCCGCAAUGGGGGGAAGCAGGACGGAGCAGCGCCGCGUCAGUGAUGAAGGUGUCCGGAUCGUAAUGCUCUGUUAUUGGGGGUGAACAUAUGUGUAAGUAACUGUGCACAGCUUGACGGUACCUGGUUAGGAAGCCCCGGCUAACUACGUG